CUUUAGCUCAGUGGUUCCUUCGAUCAAUCAAGUUUAGUCACUUGGGCCGGUGGCUUCCAUCGGUCCGGUGGUUCGAGACCCACGGGCCCUUA
ensembl:misc_RNA Vault Vault RNA